ACAUAAAUAACUGUGGUGCAAGCAACUAACGUGCACAGGAACAGGGCUCUGGGAAACGCAGAGGGGUCCCCUGGGCAGAGGAAACAGAAAGCCCUCGAAACAAACAAAGAACAGGAAUACACAACCUUUUCCCCUGUGGGCUUCUCAACGGUGUCACCUGGUUCAUUGAUUACAAAACUUCAAGGCUCCAAGGAUGAGAGAAGUCACACAUAGACAGUGAAGUUUCUGUGGCUUCUCAGAGCAUUCCAUUGUGUGCCCCAAGUGGACCAUUUUUACUCUUAAGAAUUUUGUUGCCCAAAAUCAGGAUUACAACCCAAGUUUAGAAUCAUUUACCAGAAUAGUCCUCUUUGAAUUCUUCUGGGUUCAGCUUAGUGCAAUGCGAGUGACGUUCUAAAUUAUGCAUGCAGUUGACAUUUGCACAUUUGACGUCAAAUUAAAAUGACAGAAUGUUGAAAUUGUCAUAUGUUGUGUCAUUAUGUUGCAUGAUUUUAAGGACUAGUCUAUGGGUUUAUGGAGAUAUUUCCAAAUGUUUGCAUGCUGAGAGCUUUGGUUUUCUUUGAAGGUAUCUAAGAUUGCUGCAUUCUUGACUAUGAUAUAUGGGAGUGCUUAUGGUGUCAGUAAAUCUCAUCUCUGUGCCAAGGUUUUGACUUCACUGGUUGAUAAUCAUGUCCUAUGGCUCUGCUGCCAGGGAGUGGGUGCUAACUGCACACAUUUUAGAAUUUCAGCCUCCCUGAAAACAAUUCAGGCCUCAGUUUGUGACCCAAACUUUUAUCAGCUUGGCAAAAUCUAUUUUUCUUUAGCAGGGCAGAUCAGGUUUUUGGAGUCCAUUGUCUUCUCUGGUCAAGUCUCAGCCAUGGGGUCUUGCCCUUGGCUGUAUUGUCCCUCAGAGUGUGUCUCUCUGUGGUCCUUUUAGAGAUUCUGACACAUACACACACACACACACACACACACACACACACACACACACACACACCUACAGACACAUUUCCAUUCUGCCUUAGCUAGCUAGACUAAAAAUAUAACAUAUUAUGCCCCCAAAAUGUUGACAGUACAUACUGUUGAAAUUUAGAUUCACUUUGUAAACAUUUCCCCCAUUUUCAAAUACUAGUUUUAUAAAUGUGAAUUGUGAUCUUUCCCCCCUGUAUUCCUUUAGGAUGUUCUCAUAGUUGGGGUUACUAUUGUUGUGAUGAAACUCUGUGAACAAAAGCAAUGUGGAGACGGAGGAGUUUAUUUAGCUUACGUACCCUGAGUCACAGUUCACUGAGGGAAAUCAAGACAGGAACUCAAACUAGACAGGAACCUUGAGGCAGGAGGUGAUGCCAAGGCCAUGGAAGAAUGCCCUUACUAGGUUGCUCCUUGUGUCCUGAUAAGCCUAUUUUCCUACAGAAACCAGGACCACCUGCCACUCACAAUGGGCCAGAGCCUCUCCCAUCAGUCACUAAUUAAGAAAAUGCCCUACAUGCUUGCUACAGCUCAGUCUUAUAGACAUAUUUUCUCAGCUGAAGUUUGCUCCGCUCUGAUGACUAUAGCUUGUGUUACGUUGUCAUAAAAGUAGCCAGUACAGAUGGUAAGGUAAGGGUUAUGUUGCAUUUCAGCUAUUCUUGGAACCCUUCUGUUCACACAAUGGUUUUGGUUAAAAUUAAUUCUUUGUAAUUAGAAAUUAUAAAGCCCUUUAUUUGUGAAUACCAAAUAUAUUACCCAAGUAACCAUACAUUUCCUUUACUAAAUUACUGGCUUUCAUAAAAGGUAUUUUCAUACCCAAACCAAUAAAAUGGAUGGGAAGUGAUUCCCUGGGAGGAGCCAUCUAAGUUUAUUUAGGUAGUUUAAAUCCUGCUAGCGUGAUAUGUCAUGAUUAUGUCUCCUUGGUCCAGUCUUCAGGAAAAAUACAUCUUAGUGAAGAAUUGUAUUCUUGGUGUGCAGAAUGUUACUGUCACUCACUGAUUCUCGAGUGCUCAAAUUGACACACAUACACCCACGGUACCAAUACCUUUAGGCAGAAGUAGAGACUCUCAGAUCAUAUGUCAGAUUCAACAGAAGCCAAAUCGGCACUUCAACGACAUCCCUGUGGGAUGUACAAAGCAUUGACUUAAGUCUCCUCUCUCUCUCUCUCUCACAGCUCAGUGGAAACAGCUGCCAUUUUCUUCCCAACAUCCCUUCGCAUACUUGAACAUAUAAAUUGCCUCUCCAGUCACUAAUAAAUGAAGUCUGCUAAGAGACUUAAAUUCAUCUUAAGUGAAGACAUCCUUCCAUUCAUCAAUAAUGACUUAUCAAGUGGUUCUGCAUAGCAAGUGCUGGGGGACAAUAGAGUGAGCAUGAAGUUCACAGAGCUAGCCUUUCAGUGGAGAAGACAGACAGGAAACACAGAGCCAGGAGUCAAAAGUGUGAGGUGCCAAAUAGCAAGAGCUGCUCUAAUGCUGAUUUAGAGCAGGGAUGAGCACACUAUGUCCUCUAGGAUGGGCAGAGUAUCCUUUUUGGAAAGGAAAUUUUUUAAACAAAGACUUUGAUGGGGUGUGAACCAGAGAUCACCUUGGAACAGUGUGUCUAGGCAGAAGGAAGAGCGGGCUUGCCAUCGAAGGGGUGGGUGGAGAACAGAAGAGAUCAGAGAGCAGUCAGAGGCCAGAUAAACAUCAUUCUAUAGAGGUCAGCUUGCACCAUGACUAGGGGCAUUGGCUUUCACAGAGUCCUGUCACCUGAGCCAUGUUUUUUAUAGGAUGUGCUAGCUAUGGACCUGAGAAUGAUUGGUUGGGAGUAUGGAGAGAUGGAGACAUGCAGAUUUCACAGUUUCUAGGCAAGAAAAAACUAUGGCUAGGACACAGCACAUACUGAAGCUGGUACCAAGCAUGUAGCUCAUGAGACACAAGAACUGAAUUUUUACAUUUCAAUUAAUAUAAAUGCCUAUGUAAGGCCAGUGGCUAAUGCAUUGAACUAUGUAGUUGAGUUCAUGGAUACUGUCACCAUGGUUUGGCUUCUUGGCCAGUGCUUGUAUAGUGUUGGGCUGCUGACAAGUUGUACUUAGUAAUAAUUCAUCGAUUAAAAAGAACAUUUUCUUAUCAACCCUAAAAUACUUUUAUUUUGGGCCAAGAGAAUUCUGGCUUUUUCCAGUGUCUUCUACAUGACUGCCAUUACCGUUGGUGUCGUGAAAACAUUCUAGUCACACAGGCCAUCCACUGUAUUUUAGCAGAUGUCCCAUGGACUG
rnacentral:lncRNA from 1 species